rnacentral:rRNA from 1 species
GGCGGCAUGCCUUACACAUGCAAGUCGAACGGCAGCGCGGGAGCAAUCCUGGCGGCGAGUGGCGAACGGGUGAGUAAUAUAUCGGAACGUGCCCAGUAGUGGGGGAUAGCCCGGCGAAAGCCGGAGUUAAUACCGCAUACGACCUGAGGGUGAAAGCGGGGGAUCGCAAGACCUCGCGCUACUGGAGCGGCCGAUAUCAGAUUAGCUAGUUGGUGGGGUAAAGGCCUACCAAGGCAACGAUCUGUAGUUGGUCUGAGAGGACGACCAGCCACACUGGGACUGAGACACGGCCCAGACUCCUACGGGAGGCAGCAGUGGGGAAUUUUGGACAAUGGGCGCAAGCCUGAUCCAGCAAUGCCGCGUGCAGGAAGAAGGCCUUCGGGUUGUAAACUGCUUUUGUCAGGGAAGAAAUCUUCUGGGCUAAUACCCCGGGAGGAUGACGGUACCUGAAGAAUAAGCACCGGCUAACUACGUGCCAGCAGCCGCGGUAAUACGUAGGGUGCGAGCGUUAAUCGGAAUUACUGGGCGUAAAGCGUGCGCAGGCGGCUUUGCAAGACAGAGGUGAAAUCCCCGGGCUCAACCUGGGAACUGCCUUUGUGACUGCAAGGCUAGAGUACGGCAGAGGGGGAUGGAAUUCCGCGUGUAGCAGUGAAAUGCGUAGAUAUGCGGAGGAACACCGAUGGCGAAGGCAAUCCCCUGGGGCCUGUACUGACGCUCAUGCACGAAAGCGU